rnacentral:rRNA from 1 species
GACGUAGGGCGCGAGCGUUGUCCGGAUUUAUUGGGCGUAAAGAGCGCGUAGGCGGCCCGGAAAGUCGGAUGUGAAAACCCGGGGCUCAACCCCGGGCCUGCAUCCGAUACUCCCGGGCUGGAGGCAGGUAGGGGAGAUCGGAAUUCCUGGUGUAGCGGUGAAAUGCGCAGAUAUCAGGAGGAACACCGGCGGCGAAGGCGGAUCUCUGGGCCUGUCCUGACGCUGAGGCGCGAAAGCUAGGGGAGCGAACAGG